rnacentral:lncRNA from 1 species
UUUAUUAUACGGCGUAAAUUUCAUGGUAACUUUUUCGAAACAGCACAAAUUAAGAGCUAAGACGGUAAUUAUAUGAAAAAUGCAUUAGAUAACUUAUCUUCGUAGUAAAAAUAGACGUAAGGUAUUUGCAAACCGUAACAACAUUUUAUUGCGCUUAACCACGCAUCGAAACGACCAAACCGUCGUCCAAGUUGCUGGCCGCUUCAUACACUUUGUGGUUCCUUAACAGUUCGACCUCGCAGCCGCUUCCGGCCGUCUGCAGUUAUCGCAAGCAUCCCUUUGAAGCGCUGCUUUUCGGCAACUGUUUUGACACGCACGCUGUGUGCGUCUCUUUGCUCUACCGUCCUGCUCAUCGGCAUGCCAAAGUUUACUGGUAUCUGAUCAGCGUUUCCGUUUUGUGAGCAGAUAAGCUCUCUGUCCUACAGCAGGCGAAUAACUCGAUUUUGAGCUUAUGGCACACAGCGAAACCAAAGGUAGAAAAACGAGCAACAGACUACGCUCCUCCUCUCCCAAGCGCCGCGACCUGCCGCGCAUUGCGCACGCGCGCGCUCUCUCCUUUAAUUAAGUCGGAGUAGAGUCCGUUACUUGCGGAGGGCCAGUUGCCGUUUUUCUUUCUUUCUCGAGCCUGCGCGGUGCCUUUGCGCCGGCACUGGUGGCAAGCAUCCGGCAAGAGCAGGUUGAGCGUUAUCGCGGUCGCUGCUUCCUUCAGGUACCAGGCGACCGUGAUAUGCGCAGCCUACCGCAUGCUUACCGCCAGUGAUCAUGGCUUUGCCAUGGACGCGGGCAUCGCGAUUAAGCGCGCUUGCUUUAAACACAUGUGCGACAGUAAAAUAUCCUAGUCUCCAAAAAAACUAUGGCACGGCCGUUCGAUCGUGGUACUGCACAGUAGCAAAGUUGGGGGUGCGUUAAUUACGCGAGGGAAAAAAAAUUCAGAUUUUUCGCGUCCAAUUUGGGGAUGUGUUCAUUACGCGAGUAAAUACGGUAUUUUAUGGUUAUUUCCGCAGGUGGCACAAUGAACGCGCAAUCCGGCUGUCAAGUUCAAUCGCCCAUGCAGUUGUCGCCAGAAAGCUACCAUUGGACUCUCUUGGCGAACGGAUUAAACACAGGAAGCCCUUCUUUGGGAAGGCCGUUAUGCACGGGCGAAAGACGGAAGCUGUAGCCAGGGAACAGUUUGAGCAGAAAAUAGGAGGGCCUGUCUUGCAGGUCGGUCUCAUUGUGCACUUGAAGCAACCAUGGCUGUGUGCCAGCCCUGACGGACUUUUCAAGUAUGGAGACGAGACAACUCUGCUGGAAAUUAAGUGCCCGUACUCCAGGAAAGACGAUGUACUUAUCGACCACACCAAGGAAUCAAGCUUCAUCAAGUACAUUGUGUACAGAGAUGGACGCUUGGCAGUGAACAAGCGCCAUCAGUAUUACACACAAAUGCAAGUUACAAUGUAUGUAACAAACACAACACAGUGUUUUUUUUUUUGUUUACAGCUCCAAGCAAACUGUCACAAUUGUUGUUGAGCGUGAUGAGCACUUUUUGUCAGAGGCAAUUCCCAGGCUCGAACAUUUUUAUUUUAAUUUCUAUAUUAAGCACCUUGUUUAAGGUUCUUUGCUGCAUGUAAUUACGAGGGGAAGUCAAAAAGUUAGGGAAC